GAGAAUUGAUCCAAUGACUGCUGGUGUGUAGAAUGAAUUGCGAUGAAACAUCUCAUCCUACCUGCUCCUCAUUCCCUUUUCUGCCAACGAUUUAUCUUCAGAAGACAAGCAGAUGAGGAGACAAAACCUACUGAUGUGGGUACCCAAGCAGGAACCCCCCUCUUGCACCGGCGACUCACGUGGGAAGAAGAAUUCACUGAGCUGAAAUGGAGUGAGAGCUAAGAUGCUCUCAGAAUAUUCUUAAAAUGACUGUGCUGCAAAGAAGCCCGGGUGAAUAGAAGAAAAUAGAAGGAAUGGUGGAUACAAGUGAAGGUUAAAAUGAGACCCCAUUUAUCGCACCAGCUGUUGGUGAUUUCAGCGCACCUUUCCAAGCCUCUUGAGAGUUCUGCUCUAACCACACUGCCCCCUAGUGUUCUCUCGCUUUGGUGCAACUGCAGGUUUCUCAUACUUCCGGAGAAAUAGAAAGCACCAGAUGACAGCCACCACACACUUUUGUCCCCAUUGCAAUAGGAUGCUUCUAACAAUCGUAAAAUUAUGAAACACUGAAUUCCUUAAAAGUUGUCCAUUUGUGGAUUUAUCUGAUGGUAACUAUUAAAUAUUUAAAAGUAACUUUAAUGAAUCUACUUAUGAUGAUUGAGUAAUCUAUUCUCUGAAUUCCACCAAAAAACCAUUUUAUGACCACAGUCAUAACGAACAUAUUUCUAUAGUCCUAAGCUGGCAAGAUAAAUAGAGAACAGUUCAUAAUAUAAACAAUAUA
rnacentral:lncRNA from 10 species